rnacentral:snRNA from 1 species
AUACUUACCUGCCAGGGGAGACACCAUGAUCAAGAAGGUGGUUCACCCAGGGCGAGGCUCGGCCAUUGCACUCCGGCCGUGCUGACCCCUGCGAAUUCCCCAAAUGUGGGAAUCUCGACUGCAUAAUUUAUGGUAGUGGGGGACUGCGUUCGCGCUCUCCCCUG